CUUGCGUGGGUGUGUUUUGGGUCUGCAUAUGCUGACCUUCCCCCUCUGUUUUGCUGUUUUGUUUUGAGACAGGGUUGCAUAUAACCCAGGCUGUUCUCCAACUGACUAAUGUAGCCAAAGAUGGUUCCGAUCCUCCGGCCUCUACUUCUUAAGCCGUGGGUCGACAGAGAUCUGCCCCCCUCCCCUGCGUGUGCUCCGCUUCUCCCCAGCUGUGAGCUACGCUGCUGUCUCCACGCCACAUCAGCACAGACUGGUGAAAAUUGUAGUGUCCGACAAGAAGAUGUGGGAAAUGGGCUUUCUUGCUCUAACUGAUGUCACCUGGGAAGUAUUUCAGAUUCAUGUGAUUCGAAUUGACACCAUCUUGCAGAAACAUAUCAUCUAGCGAAGAGAUGCCACGGGUGCUUGUCGUCUGCUUGUUCAUGGUGAUAAGUUACUGAAUUUGAUCAGGAGAUGCCCAUCAGAAGGCAAACAGAGUGGUGCAGUUGCUAAACAAACCCUGCCAAGGCUAAGGAUGCUGAGCAUGUGUGCUGCUGCGUCCUGACUGCAGAGCACCGCUGGAAGCAGGCUGUGCGGGGCUGUGGUUAAGUCGACUUCAGAGCACCCUGACCUCUCUGCAGCACUUCACAAGACGGUGGGUCUGGGGGUUCGGAUGUGGGAGAGGGAUCCUCAUGGCAGUGCAAAAACAAGACUGGCGUGCUCGACACAGGCACACUGGUGCCCACCUCCACUCGACACAGGCACACUGGUACCCACCUCCGCUCGACACAGGCACACUGGUGCCCACCUCCCUUCCACACUAGAAGACAGUUUGGGUAUUGUCUCCUCUGCACUGAAACUGUAGCUCUGGGUGGGCUGGAAUUUGUGCCUAGCACAAAGCCAGGUUCAUAUAAGCCACCUAAUUAAAUCCAUUGAAUGAAUGAAUGAGUGAAUGAAUGCCCAUAUAACUCAAAGUGGAACUAAAAUGGAGAAACACACCCACAGAGAGCUGAACAGAGCCCUGCCCUCUGAGCAUCACUUUCUCUCCUCAUCUCCCCUCUCCCUUCCACAGGCUCCACCUGACAA